rnacentral:rRNA from 1 species
AUUGAACGCUGGCGGCAUGCUUUACACAUGCAAGUCGAACGGCAGCGCGGGCUUCGGCCUGGCGGCCAGUGGCGAACGGGUGAGUAAUUCAUCGGAACGUGCCCAGUAGUGGGGGCUAGCCCGGCGAAAGCCGGAUUAAUACCGCAUACGACCUGAGGGUGAAAGCGGGGGACCGAAAGGCCUCGCGCUAUUGGAGCGGCCGAUGUCGGAUUAGCUAGUUGGUGGGGUAAAGGCUUACCAAGGCGACGAUCCGUAGCUGGUCUGAGAGGACGACCAGCCACACUGGAACUGAGACACGGUCCAGACUCCUACGGGAGGCAGCAGUGGGGAAUUUUGGACAAUGGGGGCAACCCUGAUCCAGCCAUGCCGCGUGCGGGAAGAAGGCCUUCGGGUUGUAAACCGCUUUUGUUCGGGAAGAAAUCCUCUGGGCUAAUACCCCGGGGGGAUGACGGUACCGGAAGAAUAAGCACCGGCUAACUACGUG